UACAGAGGUCUCAAGCGUUGUUCGGAAUCACUGGGCGUAAAGGGUGCGUAGGUGGCGUGGUAAGUCAGAUGUGAAAGCCUGGGGCUCAACCUCAGAAUUGCAUCCGAUACUGCUGUGCUAGAGUACUGGAGGGGUGACUAGAAUUCUCGGUGUAGCAGUGAAAUGCGUAGAUAUCGAGAGGAAUACCAAAGGCGUAGGCAGGUCACUGGACAGUUACUGACACUGAGGCACGAAGGCCAGGGGAGCGAAC
rnacentral:rRNA from 1 species